CCUACGGGUGGCAGCAGUGAGGAAUAUUGGUCAAUGGACGAGAGUCUGAACCAGCCAAGUAGCGUGAAGGAUGACUGCCCUAUGGGUUGUAAACUUCUUUUAUAUGGGAAUAAAAUGUUCCACGUGUGGGAUUUUGUAUGUACCAUAUGAAUAAGGAUCGGCUAACUCCGUGCCAGCAGCCGCGGUAAUACGGAGGAUCCGAGCGUUAUCCGGAUUUAUUGGGUUUAAAGGGAGCGUAGGUGGAUUGUUAAGUCAGUUGUGAAAGUUUGCGGCUCAACCGUAAAAUUGCAGUUGAUACUGGCAGUCUUGAGUACAGUAGAGGUGGGCGGAAUUCGUGGUGUAGCGGUGAAAUGCUUAGAUAUCACGAAGAACUCCGAUUGCGAAGGCAGUUCACUGGACUGAAACUGACACUGAGGCUCGAAAGUGUGGGUAUCAAACAGGAUUAGAUACCCCAGUAGUC
rnacentral:rRNA from 1 species